UCAGUCUUGCAACUGUUUGCCUUCGCUCC
rnacentral:piRNA from 1 species